GGGUUAAGUCCCGCAACGAGCGCAACCCUCGACCCUUAGUUGCCAGCAUUACGUUGGGCACUCUAAGGGGACUGCCGGUGAUAAGCCGAGAGGAAGGUGGGGAUGACGUCAAGUCCUCAUGGCCCUUACGGGCUGGGCUACACACGUGCUACAAUGGUGGUGACAGUGGGCAGCGAGCACGCGAGUGUGAGCUAAUCUCCAAAAGCCAUCUCAGUUCGGAUUGCACUCUGCAACUCGAGUGCAUGAAGUUGGAAUCGCUAGUAAUCGCGGAUCAGCACGCCGCGGUGAAUACGUUCCCGGGCCUUGUACACACCGCCCGU
rnacentral:rRNA from 1 species